AGAGUUUGAUCUUGGCUCAGGACGAACGCUGGCGGCGUGCCUAAUACAUGCAAGUCGAGCGAACUGAUUAAGAAGCUUGCUUCUUAUGACGUUAGCGGCGGACGGGUGAGUAACACGUGGGCAACCUGCCCUAUAGUUGGGGAUAACUCCGGGAAACCGGGGCUAAUACCGAAUGAUACAUUUUAACUCCUGUUAGAAUGUUGAAAGAUGGUUUACGCUGUCGCUAUAGGAUGGGCCCGCGGCGCAUUAGCUAGUUGGUGAGGUAACGGCUCACCAAGGCGACGAUGCGUAGCCGACCUGAGAGGGUGAUCGGCCACACUGGGACUGAGACACGGCCCAGACUCCUACGGGAGGCAGCAGUAGGGAAUCUUCCACAAUGGGCGAAAGCCUGAUGGAGCAACGCCGCGUGAGUGAAGAAGGUUUUCGGAUCGUAAAACUCUGUUGUAAGGGAAGAACAAGUACAGUAGUAACUGGCUGUACCUUGACGGUACCUUAUUAGAAAGCCACGGCUAACUACGUGCCAGCAGCCGCGGUAAUACGUAGGUGGCAAGCGUUGUCCGGAUUUAUUGGGCGUAAAGCGCGCGCAGGUGGUUUCUUAAGUCUGAUGUGAAAGCCCACGGCUCAACCGUGGAGGGUCAUUGGAAACUGAGAGACUUGAGUGCAGAAGAGGAAAGUGGAAUUCCAAGUGUAGCGGUGAAAUGCGUAGAGAUUUGGAGGAACACCAGUGGCGAAGGCGACUUUCUGGUCUGUAACUGACACUGAGGCGCGAAAGCGUGGGGAGCGAACAGGAUUAGAUACCCUGGUAGUCCAUGCCGUAAACGUUGGGCACUAGGUGUGGGGGACAUUCCACGUUUUCCGCGCCGUAGCUAACGCAUUAAGUGCCCCGCCUGGGGAGUACGGCCGCAAGGCUAAAACUCAAAGGAAUUGACGGGGGCCCGCACAAGCGGCGGAGCAUGCGGAUUAAUUCGAUGCAACGCGAAGAACCUUACCAAGGCUUGACAUGAACCGGUAAGACCUGGAAACAGGUCCCCCACUUGUGGCCGGUUUACAGGUGGUGCAUGGUUGUCGUCAGCUCGUGUCGUGAGAUGUUGGGUUAAGUCCCGCAACGAGCGCAACCCUCGUUCUAUGUUGCCAGCGCGUUAUGGCGGGGACUCAUAGGAGACUGCCGGGGUCAACUCGGAGGAAGGUGGGGACGACGUCAAAUCAUCAUGCCCCUUAUGUCUUGGGCUUCACGCAUGCUACAAUGGCCGGUACAAAGGGUUGCGAUACUGUGAGGUGGAGCUAAUCCCAAAAAGCCGGUCUCAGUUCGGAUUGAGGUCUGCAACUCGACCUCAUGAAGUUGGAGUCGCUAGUAAUCGCAGAUCAGCAACGCUGCGGUGAAUACGUUCCCGGGCCUUGCACUCACCGCCCGUCA
rnacentral:rRNA from 1 species